rnacentral:misc_RNA from 1 species
GCUUUGCAUUUGGAGUUGUUGGACAGUAUGUCUAGCGACGCAUUCCUGAUGGCUUUCAGGAGAUUUGUUGCGAGGAAGGGUCUGCCUAAGGAGUUAUGGUCUGACUGUGGGACAAAUUUUGUAGGGGCGGAAUCUGAGUUAUCGGAGUGUUUUGAGCUGAUGAGCACAGAGCUUCAAGAGAAGUUGGCAAGGCAGCAGGUUGAAUUUAAGUUCAUUCCACCAGGUGCUCCACACUUCGGAGGCCUCUGGGAGAGAGAAGUCAGAUCGGUCAAGCAUGCAAUCAUGUGCUGCUUAAAGGAUAGGGUCGUGACAGAAGUCUUGCUGCAGACAGUGCUUUGUGAGGUAGAAGGUUUGAUGAAUUCAAAACCUUUAGGUUACGCAUCGUCAGAUGUCGCUGACGUUGAUCCGAUAACACCGAACAUGUUGCUAAUGGGUAGACGGGACUCAUCAUUACCCCCCGUAGCGUUCAAUCAGGGAGAGGAACUUCGCAGUAGGAAGCAAUGGAGACAUGUGCAGUUGAUCGUAGAUUUAUUUUGGAAGAAGUUCGUGUCAGAAUAUUUGCCUAGCCAGCAAAUCAGAAGGAAGUGGACUAAGGAAACAGAGAACCUGAGAAAGGGUGACCAGGUGUUAGUGAUUGAUAAUCAUGCACAGCGAGGUGAAUGGUCGGUCGGUGAGAUAGUCGAUGCUCAUCCAAGUGAAGAUGGGAGAGUGAGAACGGCUGAGGUUAAGGUCAACCAGAAAAUAUAUAGGCGACCGGUGGUGAAGUUGAUUAAACUGAGUAAAAUGAGUCAGUGAGUUCAGUAGUAUGUGGUAAUAGGGCGGGAAGUGAGUGCCCCCUCUAUAGUUUUUGUAGGCCAAUGUAUAAUAGGUUUGGCAUAUGGUUGUAUUUGUAGGUUUUUGUACUUAAUUAAGGUUUAAUGAGAUUUCCUCAUUGGCGGGGGAAUGUACAAUCCUCUAUGGAUAGUAGUUGAGAUUUCAUUAGGAUUUUCUCCGAUAGAGGGCGUUGCUGUUGAUUUCGAUAAAACAAGCGGUGCUUUUGUUAGAACAAAGGAAAGCAAGGUUUCUGGUGUCUGGGGAGUAAUCGGCGUUUUGUUGCGAUAUGUGGAGAAUAUAAAGGUUGUAAGGCUGUUCUGUUCACGGAGCUGGUGUUUAAGAGAUCCGGCGGAACAAAUUGAAUGCUAACUAGCUACCGUUGAUACGGUUGGUACGUUAAUAAAGCAUCUCAAUCAAA